rnacentral:lncRNA from 1 species
GAAAAGCAAUGGCAGGAAGGUUUUUGCAGCAGCCUGCCUGUCGAACUGCAUGGAUCAACAAUUUCUCAAUUAGAAGGAGAUAGAUGAGAAGAUAAAGUAUGUGGUGCCUGUAAAGCUUCAAGCAGCAGCUGAGGAAGAUUUUGAGAACAUCUGGUCAGAAUCUAUUUCUUUUUAGGCCAAAUGUUUGGAAUAACAGCGGUUGAAUGUGGGGGAACUCCCACACCUGUAUGCGCAGGUGUUCACGCACACUGUCAGAUUUGGAGGCAGGGCUCUGCUGGCCUCACAAGAUAUGUGGUUAUGAAAGAAGGUUCCAUUUUUGAGAGAGGAGAAAGACAUUGUCAUAUUGGGGAAAGGAAGAAUGGAAGGAAUGGAACUUGGACUUGGCCUUGAAUAAUGAUCCCUUGGGCUGGGAUAUGAGGAAAGGAUUCGGAACUAUACCAUGUACAGACAAGCAUACAGCACGCAGCCCAUCUAUAAGUGCUGCCCGGGUCGGAGCCUGUGGGACCAUGAACCUGGCUGCCCACACUCUGUCUCUGCAGUGGGGACAUGUUUCAAUGGAAAGAGGUGCUCAGACAGUGAGGCCCAGUGGUGCCGGUGCUCAGAGGGUUUCCAAGGCCCCCACCGUCAAUAUGGUGAGUCGCCAACAAGACUAUUUGAUUAAGAUUUGGAGCUGUCUGCUUUGCUUUUAGGG